rnacentral:rRNA from 1 species
GAUGAACGCUGGCGGCGUGCCUAAUACAUGCAAGUCGAGCGAACAGACGAGGAGCUUGCUCCUCUGACGUUAGCGGCGGACGGGUGAGUAAAACGUGGAUAACCUACCUAUAAGACUGGGAUAAAUUCGGGAAACCGGAGCUAAUACCGGAUAAUAUAUUGAACCGCAUGGUUCAAUAGUGAAAGACGGUUUUGCUGUCACUGAUAGAUGGAUCCGCGCCGCAUUAGCUAGUUGGUAAGGUAACGGCUUACCAAGGCAACGAUGCGUAGCCGACCUGAGAGGGUGAUCGGCCACACUGGAACUGAGACACGGUCCAGACUCCUACGGGAGGCAGCAGCAGGGAAUCUUACGCAAUGGGGCAAAGCCUGACGGAGCAACGCCGCGUGAGUGAUGAAGGUCUUCGGAUCGUAAAACUCUGUUAUUCGGGAAGAACAAAUGUGUAAGUAACUAUGCACGUCUUGACGGUACCUGAUCAGAAAGCCACGGCUAACUACGUG